UGGUUAUCUACGUUGUUUUGUGGGUUUAUUCUUUUAUUUAUUGUCAUGCGCCAAGACACUCAGUUUUUUCACUCCUCUUUUCUACUUAAAGCUGCAGCCUUUAUUUAUUAUUUUUAUCUCUUUUGGCAUCUUAAUGAACUAUGUUUCAUUUCCAUAUGAGAGAAAGUAUUAGAAAAAAAAACGAAGAAUCUCUUAUGUUUCAUGUCGAUUUUAUAUGUAGAUUUUGUGUUGAAAUACAUUCUCAUUCGGACGAUAAAAGGCUUUGCAAUUUUAUGAAUUAAAUCAAUUGUUGUUUUAUUGUAAAACAUUUAACGAUUAUAAUCACUCGAAAAAUAUCAAUCAAUUCAUCUUUCAUUCAAACACUCCAACAGUAAAAUAGAUGUAAGCUUGAAUAUAUGUAUGUAUCUAUGCCUGAAACAGUGUAUAACUAUAUUUAUAACUGUGUAUUUCUAUAUUUAUGUUAUAUAUAUAUAUAUAUAUAUAUAUAUAUAUAUAUAUAUAUAUAUAUAUAUAAAUAUAUAUGUAUGUAUGUAUGUAUGUAUGUAUGUAUGUAUAUACUCAUAUUCUCUUUAAUUCUUCACUACUACUUGAAACACAUAACGCAAGACAUGUAGACAUGAUAAUACCUAUUAUACCAACGAGAUUAUGUGGGUUUCGUACUUAUUAACAUUUUCUAUUCGCUAGUAUAUAUUGGAAACUUGAAAUAAAAAUACGUUUUUUUUUCCUCUCUAUACGGUAAUGGUACCCUGCUAUAUUAUAAUCGUACGCAUAAACUUAUACCUAAAUUUAUAACAUAACCUGUAAAGUAUAUUACAUGAUAUAAAUCUGUAGCCGUAAGUCACAUUGCCAAUAUCUCGCUCAAUUAUACGUCUUGUGAUUUGAAAAUCGACAAAGAACAAGUAUUCCACAAUAUAUCUUGCUACAAAUAUGUGAUCUAAGAUGGCCUUUAAAGUUUUCUUCAUAUUUUAAAAUUAAAAUGCAGUAGGUCUGUAAAA